rnacentral:rRNA from 1 species
UACGUAGGGUGCAAGCGUUGUCCGGAAUUAUUGGGCGUAAAGAGCUCGUAGGCGGUUUGUCGCGUCUGCUGUGAAAACCCGAGGCUCAACCUCGGGCCUGCAGUGGGUACGGGCAGACUAGAGUGCGGUAGGGGAGAUUGGAAUUCCUGGUGUAGCGGUGGAAUACGCAGAUAUCAGGAGGAACACCAAUGGCGAAGGCAGAUCUCUGGGCCGUAACUGACGCUGAGGAGCGAAAGCAUGGGGAGCGAACAGG